GGCUGGAAACGACGGAGGCAAGCGUGUGCCUGCGCGACGGCAGCGACUGCGGCGACGACGGCGAGUGACAUGGAGGGAGGCUCCGCCAGCGUGCCUCCAUCGCCGAUCUGCUGAUCCCUCCUCCUCGUGGCCUACUCCUAGAGAGUUGCUGGAUGGAGGUGGACCAGCGGCGAGGUGCAGCGCUGGGCCGGAGGUGGACGAGCAGCAAGUGGCGGUUGAUCUAGAUCUCCUACACCCAGGAGGAUGAGAAGAAGGCAGCUGUGAGCCGUCGUUUUUUUUUUAUCUUCAGCACUUGAUUGAGUCAUCUCCCUUUUCCCCCCACCAAAAUUAAUAUUUCUGCAAGAUGAUGUAAAUCAACAUCUUCAAAGAAGGCACCAGUUCACAACAAUCCAAAUCAAUGAACAAGGUAACCUGAUGCAGCAGAACUUAGUUUACAUGGUGGCCAUUUGCCGUACAACAUUAGGAUUGAGAUCUAUGACUUACUACUUUAUUUGGUAAUCUGAUAUGGACAGUAAUUAGACUAUUCUCCAACAAAUUUGGAUCUUUUAUUUUCCACUGAUAUGGUGUUGACUGAUGUAUAAUCAUUUUCUCGUUUGUACUUAUUCAACGCAUAUGUAUUUAUAUCUGACUUUGUGCAGAGGCUCCAAUCUGUUGAAGUUGCUAUCGUGUGAAUUCACAUGAGAAAUUUCCUUUUUGUUUCAUGUUGAUUUCAGCUGUGAGCGUUGCAAAGAUUAAAUUGGAUGAUCAUGUAUUUCUUGGCAAUCGGCUGCAUGUGUCAUAUGCACCUUAGUUUGAGAUAUUUUUGGAUACCAAGGAGAAAUCGGAACUCGGGAGAAACGAAGACCUCGAUCACAUAGGAUGUAUGGUCUCACCAUUUUCCAAAAAAUAGUUGCAUCUUACAAUUUACUGUUGUGAUGAGAGAAUGUAACCAAAAGAUAUUCUAGAAUUGGCAUCAUUGCUACUGCAAAUUCCUUGGUACUCAAAUAAUUAGAUUUAGGUACUUGUGUUUUUUAGCUUCUAGCGGAAUCAGACUUGAAGCUUCCUUUAGAUAUCUAGAUGCAAUCUUUUGUGCAAUAGUUCAGCGAAACAUCAAAUGAUAUUACUUAUUUUAGCCAAAUGUUGUUUCGUAAUGGAUUUUAGCCUUGAGAACAAGGCAGAGACUAGACGCAUCAUAUUUCUCCCUUAUUAGGACCAGAAGCAUGGUUAUUUUAAUUUCCCUUAUAGUGUAUAUUUAAGUUUUUGCCAUACGAGUGAUUCUUUCUUUGCUACGUUCAGGGUAAGAACUAAAGAGAAGAGUCCGUGUUGUUUUUGAGGAUAUCAGAACUGGUCCCCUAGAUUUUGUAUUAUUUAGAUAAAGAGAAGGAUCUGAAGCCACAACCCCUUCUAACAUUUAAUUGUAUUUAGGACAUGCUGCACUCUCGUGGUUUAGAUAGAUAAUUAUCCAGCUUAAAAACUUAAUUGUAGUUGUUCAAAAAAUUGUGUAGAUGCUACAAAGCUUUAGGUGUGCACUUUGAUAUAUUCCUAUAAUUAGUUUGCAUUUUCUUUGAAAUUUGCCCACUCUUGGCCUUUCAUGGAUUGUUAUUAAACAUUUUAGGUGAGGUGCGAGAUGAGAGUUGUACCUUUGUCACGUCGACAGGAGGCAGCGAUGUCUCACACAGUAAACGCCGGCGCAGCCAUUGCCGGAAACAGCGCCCGAAUCAUGUCGUUGAUGUUGUUGUCGCCGAGAUCAGCGCCGCCUUACGCCGUUUAGCCCGCAUGCAGCAUUGUGGCGAGUCCACGGCAUGCAUCGGCCCAAAUUGGUCACCAGCACUCAAGCCAGAGUAUAUUGGUAACAUUCUCAUGGAAAUUCUAUUUAAAGAUUGUUCAGGCUGGUUUUUAUAUUAGUACUUAAGCGCUUGGACUUGGAGCAAUGGCCAAUGAUAUGGGCAACAACAUGGUUAUUGUUCAGCAAGAUCAUUGUUGCUCUAUUCAAGUGAGGAGUGAUUUAGAAGAAAAAUUGCAAAACAAAAUGGUAUAUGCUCUUUCUUAUCACUUAUCAGACAACUUCUGUAACCAUGUAAACAGCAUGUUCCCAUUUUUGUCUUUGCUUUUUCUCAGGUUGGCACUACUUGGUAGGGUGUCUACUCCAUCGUAAAAGAAGUGAAGUAAACAAGAUAAAAGGGUACUGAUAUUGGGUUUAUAUCAGGUAUGCAUACCAAGCAUGGUAUAACCAUCAUCUAUUAGUUGCUACUGUUUAUUGCAGAAAUUAAUAUAUAAUGAUACAAAGAUAUUGCACAAUGUAGCAUAACUUACAUGGAGAUGUCUCCGUUUUUCUAUCGCAGUGGUGUAAGGAGUAGAUCCACGUAGUAGAAAACGAAUUUCUUCAUUACAAAUAUUCUUCACAGUUUGAGUUGAUCUUUUUAUUUGUGUAUAAAACAUAUGAUGGAUGAUAUUUUCGGCUAUAGAUGAAAUUCUAGCUGAAAAUUAAAUAUGAUACCAUGCAUUACCUUUCUUCAAUCGAAUGGAGGAAUCCUGGGACAAGUGAGUUGCUUCAUGUGUGUGAGGCACCCUAAAUUAUUUGAUUUCUUCACCGUAUUAACUAAUUAUAACUCAUAUAUAGCUUAUGCCAGUUUUGUUUUCAGAUCAAACCAGCUUCAUGUGACGCUACUUCUAGAAGAGCUAAGACUUAAGACGCUAUCUCUACUUGGGAACAAAAUGGGAUGAGUCUAAGGUUAAACUUCAGAAGUGUAAACCGGCUCCCAUAAAUAUGAAUGGUGUUGCAGACCUGGUAUUUCCGUUACGCCAUUUGUGACAUGCCCUAUAUGGGGCGUUAGAGAAAGUGUGGAUAAAUAUUAUGCAGGCAUCAGAGUUUAAAUCUUCCCCUAUUUCACUGGUUAUAUGUAUAUGUGUUCGGUACUCCGUUUGUAGUUCUCUAUGCUUUAACCUAAUUUCAUCCUAACAACAUAGUUUUGUAAAACCCAGCAAAUGUAUUAUCACAUUGGCAGCUAAAUUUUAUCGUUGACAUACAAAAUCAACAGGACGAGCUCCACGGGCCCGUGCGCCAAGGCGCACAUCUAAAUCUUCUCACGAUCAUUGAUCAUUUCACCAAUAUGUGUGGAUAGUUAUUUUUAGAUUUGUAGGUAGCCUUGCAUAUUGUUCAGCUGGUUCUAAGUUAGUUUGUUUGAUACUUAUCUGUAUUUGUUACAUAUUUGUUCUACUUGUCUGAUAGUUUUUUUUUCCUUGAAGAAAAGGUAUGAUUUUUAUCUUCUGGUAUAUAUUGAGAAUACUGUUCGAGGGUUCACCCUGCUUGGUACUACUGAUAGUUGUUGCUGCAUGGGGAGUGUUGACUGAUUCCAAGGAAUGUUUGUUAGGAACUUUGCCCAUCUUCUUGACAGUUCUCUUCUAUACAGUACCAUUAACAUCUGAGAUGUAUGCCUUAGAUUGAGACAUGUGUCUCCAGAUCUUAAAGUUAAACAGGUCUGUGAAUGUUGAAAUCAGUUAGAUAGGAAGUUGUCUGCAAUUCUGGAUGUUAUUGAUUCUUAUAACUUUUGAAUGGAUUAAAAUAUCAGUGGCCUAAAAAGGCUGUGUUCUUUAAGUCUUUAUUGAACUUUGAAAGUUUAAUGAUGGUGCCUACUACAUAUUGUUCAACAGGGUAUUGCAGCGGUGGGCGUGAGCGUGAGCGUGCUGUUGUUUGGAGUGUAGGAGUUAUAGGAGGACAUGCUUUGGGCUCGCGGCCGUGUGCACAGGCUACGGAGGUGCACCAGGUGGCCGAGAUUGUGACCGGUUGCGAGGGAUUUCAGAACUAGAGCAGGGACCUCAUCUCCUUGCUGCCGUAAUAAUUGGCCACAAUACUAGAAAGUCUGCUCCAAAUGUUUUAUUGUUCUUGAUAUUAGCAAGUGCUCUUCCUCAUAUGCCGAAGUGACCUCCUAUUAUGUAUUGACCUUUAUUCUUCCUCAGAACAAGAGUUUGAAUUGUUCUAAAAUUUUGUUCUAUGAAAUUAGUUGUCUUGAGAAAAGCUACCAUAUAUUGUGACA